AUGAAGGGCUAUUGUGUUUUAAAUUUAGAAUCUAACCUUGUGGUAGAGACUUGCGAUGUAACUUUUGAUGAGGCUAGCCCAGCUAGACCCGAGUUUUCAGGUACACCACAAGUUCCCGAAACCUUAUUCGUUGAAGAAGAUAAUGAGGAUGGUGUGGGACAAGCCCCCAUAUCUCUUGCACCUGCCGCAGAACCUGCUACCACUUCUGUUCCACUGGAAGAUGGCCCUGUACCUAGUACUUCAUCUACAACAUCCGUACCCUCAACAUCGAUGACUCCUGAUCCUACCUCCACUUCAGCUGAGGUAGAGGCUACCACGACUACUUCCUCACCUGCUUCUGACGUCCUUCAGGGAUCUCUACGUCUUCAUCAUGCUCACCCACCAGAUCUGAUCAUUGGCAACAUCUCUGAGCGUACAUUGCGCUCCAGGUCCACUCAUUUAUCAGACUUUGCACAUACUGCAUUUGUUGCAUCUUUUGAGCCCCGAGAUGUUAGCCAUGCAUUAGAAGAUGAAAACUGGAUAAGGGCAAUGCAUGAGGAGUUAGAAAACUUUGAGAGGAACAAGGUCUGGCAACUUGUAAAAACCCCGUUUGACCAGAGUAUAAAUGUCAUUAGAACCAAGUGGGUUUUCAAAAAUAAACAGGGAGAGGGCGGCCAAGUUGUUCGCAACAAGGCUCGCCUAGUUGCUCAAGGUUAUUCUCAAAUUCAGGGUUUUGAUUUUGACGAGACCUUUGCACCUGUUGCACGGUUGGAGGCGAUACGUAUUUUACUUGCUUACUCUGCUUCCAAGGGUUUUAAGUUAUUUCAAAUGGAUGUCAAAAGUGCUUUUCUAAAUGGUUUCAUUGAUGAAGAAGUUUAUGUAAAACAGCCCCCUGGUUUUGAAAAUGAUAAGCUCCCAAACCAUGUCUAUAAAUUGCAGAAAGCUCUUUAUGGUCUUAAGCAAGCCCCUAGAGCUUGGUAUGAUAGACUCAAAGGGUUUUUGAUCAAGAAAGGUUUUAAAAUGGGUGAAGCUGAUAAGACCUUGUUCACUCUUAGGCAUCAUAAUGAACUACUCUUAGUGCAAAUUUACGUAGAUGAUAUCAUCUUCGGUGGAUCGUCUAAUGCUCUUUGUGCUAAGUUUUCCAAAGACAUGAGUGAUGAAUUUGAGAUGUCCAUGAUGGGUGAGCUGUCCUUCUUUCUUGGACUACAAAUCAAGCAAACAAAGCAGGGCACCUUUGUAUAUCAAGGCAAGUACACGAAGGACAUGUUAAAGAAGUUUGGGAUGAGCGAUUCCAAGCCACUCCAUACCCCAAUGUCCACUACCACAAUACUUGAUGUAGAUGAAAAUGGUGAGGUAGUGGACCAACGAGAAUACAGAAGCAUGAUUGGCUCACUACUGUACUUGACUGCAACGAGGCCAGACAUACAAUUUGCAGUGUGUCUGUGUGCUCGUUUUCAGGCUUCCCCAAGAGACUCCCACAAGCAAGCCGUCAAACGCAUUUUAAGGUACCUCCAAGGAACACCUGAUUUUGGCCUAUGGUUUUCUAGUUCUUCUGGUUUAGGAGUUAGGGGGUUCGCAGAUUCAGACUUUGGUGGGUGUAGAAUAGACCGCAAGAGCACUUCUGGCACUUGUCACUUUCUAGGUACUUCCCUUAUUUCUUGGUCUUCUAGGAAGCAAUCUAGUGUAGCACAAAGCACAGCCGAGGCAGAGUAUGUAGCAGCUGCGAGCAGUUGUAGUCAGAUUCUUUGGAUCUCAUCUAUUUUACAUGAUUUUGGGAUUUUCAUUUCUUCUGUUCCACUUUUCUGCAAUAACACUAGUGCGAUAAGUAUUGCUAAGAAUCCAGUCCAACACUCUAGAACUAAACACAUUGAACUGCGCUACCACUUCAUAAGAGACCAUGUGGAGAAAGGUGAUAUAGAGCUCCUGUAUGUUGAUACUGAGCAUCAGCUUGCUGAUAUUUUUACCAAACCUUUGGAUGUUAGUCGUUUUACUUCUUUGCGGGGAGAUUUGGGGGUCGUCGGCCCCUAUGGGAUCUUGUGA
rnacentral:rRNA from 1 species